rnacentral:tRNA from 1 species
UCCCGUGUGGCUCAGUUGGUAGAGCAUGGUGUUUACAAUGCCAGGGUUGUGGGUUCGAUUCCCACGGGGGAA